AACAAACGCUGGCGGCGUGCCUAAUACAUGCAAGUCGAACGGGGAAAGCUUUCGGGUGAGUACUAGUGGCGCACGGGUGAGGAACGCGUGGAUAAUCUGCCUUAUAGUGGGGGAUAAUUAGUCGUAAGAUUAGCUAAUACCGCAUAAGACCACGAGAGCUGCGGCUUUUUAGGUCAAAGGUUUUUCGCUCUAAGAUGAGUCCGCGUAAGAUUAGCUAGUUGGUGAGGUAACUGCUCACCAAGGCGACGAUCUUUAACUGGUCUGAGAGGAUGAUCAGUCACACUGGAACUGAGACACGGUCCAGACUCCUACGGGAGGCAGCAGUAGGGAAUAGUGCACAAUGGAGGAAACUCUGAUGCAGCGACGCCGCGUGAGUGAUGAAGGCCUUCGGGUCGUAAAGCUCUGUCGCAGGGGAAUAACACAAUGAAGGUACCCUGUAAGAAAGGAUCGGCUAACUUCGUG
rnacentral:rRNA from 1 species